GCUGACUCUUUUCAGACUCAGUCCGCCUACACCCAGGUGAAAUAAACAGCCAUGUUGCUCACACAAAGCCUGUUUGGUGGUCUUUUCACACGGACGCGCAUGAAAUUUGGUGCCGUGACUCCGAUUGGGGGAUCUCCCUUGGGAGAUCAAUCCCCUGUCCUCCUGUUCUUUGCUCUGUGAGAAAGAUCCACCUACCACCUCAGGUCCUCAGACCGACCAGCACAAGAAACAUCUCACCAAUUUCAAAUCCGGUAAGCAGACUCUUUUUACUCUCUUCUCCAACCUCCCUAUCCCUCAACCUCUUUCUCUUUUCAAUCUUGGCGCCACACUUCAAUCUCUCCCUUCUCUUAAUUUCAAUUCCUUUCAUUUUCUGGUAGAGACAAAGGAGACAAGUUUUAUCUGUGGACCCAAAACUCUGGCGCCGGUCACGGACUGGGAAGGCAGCCUUCCCUUGGUGUUUAAUCAUUGCAGGGACGCCUCUCUGAUUAUACAGUCACGUUUCAAGGGUGUCAGACCACGCAGGGACGCCUGCCUUGGUCCUUCACCCUUAGCAGCAAGUCCCGCUUUUCUGGGGAAGGGGCAAGUAUCCCAACCCCUUCUCUCCUUGUCUCUACCCCUUCUCUGCUUUUCCGGGGACGGGACAUGUACCCCAACCCCUUCUCUGUCUCUACUCCUUCUCUGCUAUCCUGGGGCAGGGGCAAGUACACCUCAACCCCUUCUCCUUCACCCUUAGCGGCAAGUCCCGCUUUCCUAGGGGGCAAGAACCCCCCAAUCGCUUAUUUCCACACCCCAACCUCUUAUCUCUGCACCCCAAUCCCUUAUUUCCACGCCCCAAUCUCUUAUCUCUGCACCCCAAUCCCUUAUUUCCGUGCCCCAACACUUUCUCUGCUUUUCUGGAGGGCAAGAAACCCCCACCCCUUCUCCGUGUCUCUACUCUUUUCUCUGGGCUUGCCUCCUUCACUAUGGGCAAGCUUCCACCUUCCAUUCCUCUUUCUUCUCCCUUAGCCUGUAUUCUUAAGAACUUAAAACCUCUUCAAUUCUCACCUGACCUAAAAUCUAAGCGUCUUAUUUUCUUCUGCAAUGCCGCUUGACCCCAAUACAAACUCAACAGUAGUUCCAAAUAGCCAGAAAACGGCACUUUCAAUUUUUCCAUCCUACAAGAUCUAAAUAAUUCUUGUCGUAAAAUGGGCAAAUGGUCUGAGGUGCCUGACGGCCAGGCAUUCUUUUACACAUCAGUCCCUUCCUAGUCUCUGUGCCCCGUGCAAUUCGUCCCAAAUCUUCCUUCUUUCCCUCCCACCUGUCCCCUCAGUACCAACCCCAAGCAUCGCUGAGUCUUUCUAAUCUUCCUUUUCUACAGACCCAUCUGACCUCUCCCCUCCUCGACAGGCCGAGCUAGGUCCCAAUUCUUCCUCAGCCUCCGCUCCUCCACCCUAUAAUCUUUUUUAUCGCCUCCCCUCCUCACACCUGCUUCGGCUUACAGUUUCAUUCCGUGACUAGCCCUCCCCCACCUGCCCAGCAAUUUAUUCUUAAAAAGGUGGCUGGAACUAAAGGCAUAGUCAAGGUUAAUGCUCCUUUUUCUUUAUCGCAAAUCAGAAAGCGUUUAGGCUCUUUUUCAUCAAAUAUAAAAAUCCAGCCCAGUUCAUGGCUCGUUUGGCAGCAACCCUGAGACGCUUUACAGCCCUAGACCCUAAAAGGUCAAAAGGCCGUCUUAUUCUCAAUAUACAUUUUAUUACCCAAUCUGCUCCCAACAUUAAAUAAAACUCCAAAAACUGGAAUCUGGCCCUCAAACCCCACAACAGGACUUAAUUAACCUCACCUUCAAGGUGUGCAAUAACAGAAAAAAGAUGCAAUUCCUUGCCUCCACUGUGAGACAAACCCCAGCCACAUCUCCAGCACACAAGAACUUCCAAACGCCUGAACUGUAGCAGCCAGGCGUUUCUCCAGAACCUCCUCCCCCAGGAACUUGCUACACAUGCCAGAAAUCUGGCCACUGGGCCAAGGAACGCCCGCAGCCCGGGAUUCCUCCUAAGCCGCGUCCCAUCUGUGUGGGACCCCACUGAAAAUCGGACUGUUCAACUCACCUGGCAGCCACUCCCAGAGCUCCUGGAACUCUGGCCCAAGGCUCUCUGACUGACUCCUUCUUGGCUUACCGGCUGAAGACUGACGCUGCCUGAUCACCUCAGAAGCCCCGUAGACCAUCACGGAUGCCGAGCUUUAGGUAACUCACAGUGGAGGCAUCACCUGAAAUACAAUUUAUCACCAGCCCUUCUCCAGCUCUACCUCUCCAAAUCUACCAGCAAUUCAAGAUUAAUUUCAAAUUCAACCCCCACCCAAGAAUUUGCAAUUCACAUAUGUUCCUGUCAUAUCUGAAUUAUCAUUAUGCCAAUUUCCCUCCUGUUUCACUAAAUUAAAUACUCAUAUCAAGGAUAUUUGCCUUAUCACUCCAACAGUUUAGGCAGGAGUGGCAUUUUGGUUUAUAGCAUCAGGCAGAAUGGUAAGAACAGUAUAGGUAGUGAGAAUUCUGGCUUUAGUCCUGGUAUCUCUCUAACAGGUUAUGUAAGCUCAGUGCUGUUCCUGUGGUACUUCUGAUUUUCCUCUUUCUGGGUACACAGUAGGAUUGUCCUCCCUAACUUGCUUGGAAUUAGACAGGUUCUGUAAUUUGCUUUGGCUGAUGAAAUGUGAGCCUUUCACUUUGAAUUGUAUAAUUUGCUUUUCCCUGACCUCUGCCAUGCUCCAGAAAGUGAAGCCUAUAGCAAUCUGCUUCUCUUUGUGAAGACAACCUGGAGCAGAGGCCCUGACCACUCAAGAAAGACAUUUAACAUAAACUAGAAAUGGAUCAUUUUUAUUAAACAAUGGCAAUUUUAGGAUUGUUUGAUACUACAGCAUAACCAAGCCUAUCCUGUGUAAUAUGCAGGGAAAUUCUAUUAACUGCAAAGUAGAGAGAAACUAGAUAGUUUGCUUUAAAUAUCUCAUCAAAUUUUUACAGGAAUCAAAAAUAUAAAGAUGCAUGUAUGUAAAGAUGUAAAUAAUAAAUGUAAUGAAAAUUCAGAAAAUCAUUAAUAAUAAAAUAUCAAAACCGUCUUAACUCAUAUUAUGUUUAUUAUUUAUUUCUACUUAUGAUAUUCAGUAUGAUGAUCUGAGCUUUGUUUUUUAAUACUGAGCUGUUUCUUUUUAUAUUUCUUGUACAUAACCUCUUUAAUUUAAUGACUAUUUAUGAAAUUGCUAACUAUUGGUAAGUAACAGUAUUUCAGAGAUUUGGUGGAUGUUUCAGAGAUUAUCUCUCAACACAAACAACUAUGUGAGAUCAAUUUAAACUACUCUGGAGCAAGGUAUGUAUGCAAAUAUUCAGAAAAAAUAAAUGUCUAUGUAGUAAACAUUCUGUGUAAGGAAAAGAGAGUGAUAUAAAACAUCUGGCCACACAUCAGGGACAUAACUCAACUCCCAGUGAGACCAAAUCUGUUAUAUAAAUAUAUGUUUUAUUACUCAUGCUUUUAAAACAACACACAACCUUAUGACCUGCAUUUGUCAGGAUUUCCAUUUAGUGGAAUGGUCACCAUGGUGACAAUGUGAACUGGCUGAUUUGUAUAUGCUUUCUCAUCUAGCGCUGAAUGACCAGAGUAGACCACUUGACAGCUGAUGUUUUCAGUUAUAACAACAUAUGUGCACCACAGAGUUCAUGGAAUUGUAUCUCAGCCAGUCUGAAUCAGUUGAUAUGGUAGCCAAAAUGACUGGUUGACCUCGCUAAGGACCCAGGUAUUUCAGGUAUCUUAUAAACCAGAGUGGACUGAUUUAACCAUAUGGUUAAAUGGCAUAAAAAAAAAAGUGGCAGUACACUGUCUAUGUCCAAGGGUCUUACAUGGUAAUUGGCAGCAAGACAGACAAUUGGGUAAGAUUUUGUAGACAAUGAAACAGGCAUCUACGUUAAAAACUAGAUAAAACUGGAUAAUCAUUAAUUUUUAUGUUUUUAUUCAGCUAUUUAAUCUGAUGUAGACACAAAAUAAAUUUUUCAUUUGUGGCAAUUUUGAAGUAGAAAAAUGAGUAUUGCCUUUCUUCUCUUCACCUAUAACUUGGCUUUAAAGUUUAUCUCAGUAAGAGAGUAGAGAUUUUUAUGCAUGAAAUUGGCAGGUAGAAAUCGAUCAAUAAAUAUUCGUUUAAUGAAUGAAAGAAAAACAUACUAGUAAGCAUUUUUAAUAGAAAAAAUUGACUAAAAUAUUAACUAAAAUGUUUUUAGUUGACAAUUCAUAAAGCAUAAUGGCAAGAACUUAAUUUUCAUGACAAUCUAGUGAGAAAGUUUAUCACUAUCUCAGUUUUAUAGAUAAAUAAAUAUGAGGUUUACCAAGAUUAUAGAAUUCAGUCAAAGACAGAGAAUGGGUAAGUGGCAGAUUAGAAUUUAGUCUGAAUUUUUUAAUCCUAAACCCCAUGCCACCUAAAAUUCAAUAUGAUGCCCAU
rnacentral:lncRNA from 1 species